ensembl:lncRNA
UCUUGAAGGAGGAGCGGCCCCUUCAAAACUGAGCUGGGUUCCCUGAGCUGUGCCCUGCUGCCAAGCCAGCCCCACACCGCUGCCCCUGCGUGGUAGAUCCAGGCUGUCAGAUGAAGGUUUUCCACACCUCAGCAAUCAUCGCAGAGCAGCUGGGGACGGGGCUGGAGCUCACAGGAACAGGGGAGCUGGCAGCUGGCACAAAGCUGGCCUUUGUGCAAAGGAAUAACGGGAGAAGGGGGGUCAUGUCCAUGCCUAAAGGAACAUGGAGAAUGUCCAUGCAGGCAGCGGAGAGCUCUGCUUAUUGCAGAAUUGUUCCCCUGCAGUAUGUUCUCUGGGUCUUUGUCUAGACAUUGUGUGUCUAGAGAGAUGUUUGUCUUCAUGAUGUUGUACCCAAAUGGCAUGUCUGAGUGCUCAGAUGGAUGUUUUGUCAAUAUUUCAAGCUACCAAAGUUCAUCUAUAACGAAGGGUGAGUUUAGAACUCAGCAUUAUUUCCAGCUCCACAGAGCUUCAGCAUUUCAACAAAUAGAGCAUUUUCCUCAGCAGAAGGCAACGUCUGUCCUGUCCAUACCCCCCCCUGUCCCCCCCCCCAAGAUGUGUUGGAAUCUGGAAAUAUGGGAGAGAUGAUGGUUUGCUAAACGGAAUAUGCCUCCAGAGUUAACAGUGGCUUCAACUCUCUUUUCCUUCUCUGUUAGCCCAGGACAUCAUGCAAGCGAGGACAGUGACAGCCUGGUGACAGCUGCAGUGCAGCACUGCGUGU